rnacentral:rRNA from 1 species
UUUACGGAGAGUUUGAUCCUGGCUCAGGACGAACGCUGGCGGCGUGCCUAACACAUGCAAGUCGAGCGGUCCGGCGGGAUAAGCUUGCUUGUCCUACCGGAUAGCGGCGCACGGGUGAGUAACGCGUGGGCAACCUGCCCGGAAGACCGGGAUAACCCCGGGAAACUGGGGCUAAUACCGGAUACGCUCCUUUAGGGGCAUCCCUGGGGGAGGAAAGGGGAAACCCACUUCCGGAGGGGCUCGCGUCCCAUUAGCUAGUUGGCGGGGUAACGGCCCACCAAGGCGAC